UUCAAGAUCCAAUGGCCAAGGUUCAGGUUUUUGGAUCUCUUGCAGCCUUUGAUGUCACUGUUACCCUGACGUGCCCAGCCGAGAAGGAAGUAGAGUUUGAGCUCAUCCCUGUCCCCAACUUGACGCCUCAAUUUAGCCAGGAAGAGCUACGCGCUAUUAACAUUGCGUAACUGUUGUGCUCUAUGAUCUAGUACAUAAUCCUCAUUAUAUGUUUGGUUUUUUGUUACAGGAAAUUCAUCUGAACGAAUCGAAAGAUCUCCGUGCUUCGAAGAAGGUUCAGCCAAGUUUCUUGGUAGGAUAUCGUAUUUUUUCUAUCACCAUUAUUUCUUAGUUUCUUCCUUUUCAUCUGUGACAAUCAUCAACGUGCAGUGUGAAGGAAUAGGAUUGCACGCAUGUUAUUAUUAUGUUUUUCACUUGUGCGUUAAAAAAAAGUAAAUCCCGGUCUUGAUUAGAUAGAUCGAUUGAUAGAUGUGUUGACUGACAUAAAUAUUAUGAGUUAGGAUACCAAAAAAACAGACUAAUAGCACUUAAAUACCAUAUAGUUUCCCUCACUUUGCACUUAUAUGCCCUCACUUGAUUUUUGCAGCAUUUAUUUACUCUGAAGUUUUUCAAAUUUGGCACUUUAAGACCUCCUGCUAUGCUAGUGUGAGAAUGUUCUUUCGUAUAUUCACAUGUGAUACUCAACAUGAACUUUGCCCAAUUUAGGUUUAAUUUUGAUUAUAAAGUAACUGAUUAAUAAUUAGCGUGUCAAUAAGAAAAGGAUUGUUUAUUGUACCCCAUCAAACACCAUCGAGGUUAGUUGAAAAAAUUGGAAACAUUUGAGGAUUUUUCAGAAGCACCUCAAACUUAAGGGUGUCAAGCGACAUUUUUAGAGUCUUGGUUGAUUAUAUUAGAGUUGACUAAACUUAAGGGUAAGAUUUUAGUUCAAUUUCCCCCCUCAUUCCCCUCCUCUACCCUUCUAAAUGGAACUACUAAACAAAGGUAAACCAAAAUUUCCCUUCCCCUUCCCUUCUCUACCCUUCAUCCAAACAGGCUAUAAACUAAGGAAAUCUAACUAACCCAAUUUCUUUAUAAUAAACCCUCUUCCCUUCCCUUGCCAUCUCAUUCUUUCUCAGCCAAAGUUUAAGGAGGAUGAUCUUUAGCAAGGGGGUCUUCUUCCAGGGCUGGGCAAGCAUCAAUCUGGACCCUCCUCUCUCUCAAUUAAUCUUAGGCUAUACCAAAAUUACAUUCAUUUUAUUUCAUGUUAUACAUGUUAGAUAUACGUCAUGAUAUUUCAAUUUAAGAUAUUAUCUCAUUCACGUUUCUACUUUAAUACGUUGACACAUGCAUGAAUGCAUCUUUCAAUUUGUAUGUUCAUUAGUAGGUUAAUACGCAUCAGUUUCUUCGAAAAUCCUGAGUGAGAUUACAGGCUAUAUAAUUAAACAUUUCAAGAUCCAAUGGAAAAAGUUCAGGUUUCUGGAUCUCCUCUUGGUGUCCAGGUCGUUGUUAUUCUAACAUGCCUAAUUGCGAAUAAACUUGAGUUUGAGCUCAUUCCUGUUCUCCACUUGAUGCCUCAGGGCCAGAAGAACUAUGAUGGUAACAAGGAAAAGAGAAUUGAUCUGAAUGAUUUGGAAAAUCUCUGCUUGGGAGAAAGCUCAGCCAAUUUCCUUUGUAUUGCCUGUGAGUGAAAUUAAUGUUUAUCUGACGAUAAAUAAAAGAAGUCAAAAGAAUUUAACCCCGGGGGGUCUAUCUGCAAGAAUGAAACUCGCUACUACAAGAUCAGUAAGUUCAAAACAAUAAUACUGAUUAAACGAUUGCAGAAUCCCACAAGAUGGUAUGUUGUCACAUAGCUGAGAAGUAAGCUGAUCAAGGGAACAAGGACGAAGAUGUUUGCAUAUGAAGUGAGAUUUUGCAUUUUAAUUCCUGACAUACAGGCACCUCAUGAAAAAAAAAAGUCGUACAAUUUAUCGGGUAUUUCAAUUUUGUACCUUGGCGGAGGCAAAUUCACCAUCAUGGACAUCUUUCACCUGUCCCUUUAUCACCACUCCUUCACAAAGAAGAUAAACGAUAUUCCACAUUUGAAGGUGGAUAGCUUGGAUCGAGGUUUCCAACCGCUUCUCGUGGAGGAAGGUGGUGGUGGUGGUGGUGGUGACUGAGGGGGGAUGAGCAACAACCUCACAACUGUAGCAAGAAUGCCUAAAAUGAUUUACGAUCGACGCUGGGUAUACAAUGUAAAAUAAGAAAUUUGCAGAUGAUAAAUGGGAACAUGAGAUUGAUUCUUCAUUGCUCCAAGAUAGACCGGUGGUCGAUCUUUUUUAGACUUUUUUCAUCCUCAGAUAGACUCACUAAUUUCACCGACGAGCAGCACCUGCCAAAAUUUCACCAAGGGGAAAAUAGUCAAAAAAAAAUAACCCAAGGGGUCUGUCUGCAUCGAUGAAACUGCAGAGGUAGCAAGCACAAAACAGCAGUACUCUACGCAGGUGGUCUGUGCAAAGAAAUUCCCUCAACUUUCUCUACUUGAUUUGGCAACUCUCAAAGGAAAAGUAUCUAUUCUACCUACCUUUAUGCCCACAUACUUCAUCUCCUCACCAAUGGAUCUCCAUGGGAAUGCCCAUUUUCCUAUCUGUUGCAGGUUUCUCUUCCCUCAUACUUCUCAAUGAGCUCAAAAAAUGGCAAAGGCGACAAAUCGUCAAAGAGAAGCUUAGGCUCAUGACCGAAGCUCUUGAGCAAGCAGAGGAGAGGCUGCUUCGGCUCCAAGAGAGACACGACAGAAUCCUGUAUCAGAUGAACUCUCAGUAUUUGAGUCAUAAGGAGAUGGAGGAGGCUCUGAUCGGAGCUAGAAAGGCGAUGAAUGAUGCUCUUGAUUUCUCUGUUAGCCUUCGAGAAAUCCAGUUGAGGAUCUUGAGUUCAUAUCCUGACGUUACUGUUUGAUGUGUAGAUGUUGAGAGUGAUUUAUUGCACAACUAGAUUUGAUGAGGAGAUUGAAUCUGAUCAUUAUGAUUAAAGGUUACAUUUGAUCAAUAUGAUUACAGACGACUUUAUAAGCUCAACUAUGAUCAGAAGUUUCAUAUAUAUCCUGACACAAUGUUUUAUGUUCUUCAGUUUGCGGUAUCAGACUAGUUUAGUCUUGGUAAAUUUCACAGAUUCUUUAAUAAGUAUGGCAUUUUUCACUUAACCGCCCAGCGAUUUUGAGAAAUUUCAAUUAAACCUCGAACUGCUUCGGUCAGAAAAAACCGCAAAACUAAUACUGUUUGUUCUGAAAUCACUUCUCCCUCUUCUUCCUCCUUCCUGCUCAGGUUCGGAGCUUCCAAUCUCCAACAUUUGUUUUUGGCGAUUUCCUCCUUCAAAACUCUAAAUUGAUGAUAUUUUACGCAACAUGUCGUCAUGGAGGUUUAAUAAAAAAAAGUUAAGAGCAUUUUGGCUUUUCUGGACUUCCUGAACUUAUUCGGGGUAAAGCGAAAUUCUUAAACUCAUCGGGGGUUAACGAGAAACACCAAAACUUAUUGGGGAUUUGUGAAAUUCACUCUCUAGUUUAGAUACAUACACUCCCUUGAUAAGUUUUAUCUCAUCGUAGUUACCUAGAACUGUAAGUAUACAGGUAGUCUUCAUGUAGACAUCAAAGGCAUAUGCAAAAUUGCAAACAUCAUGGUAAAUCAAAAACCAGCACCUGAACUGAGGAUUCAGACACCAGAAAAACACAAAAAACCAGUAUUAUUCAUGUGCAGGGUCAUUCCUUGACAGACUCAUGCAUUC